UACGGAAGGUCCGGGCGUUAUCCGGAUUUAUUGGGUUUAAAGGGAGCGCAGGCCGAUGGUUAAGCGUGACGUGAAAUGUAGCCGCUCAACGGCUGAACUGCGUCGCGAACUGGCUAUCUUGAGUGAGUUCGAUGUUGGCGGAAUUUGUGGUGUAGCGGUGAAAUGCUUAGAUAUCACGAAGAACUCCGAUUGCGAAGGCAGCCAACAAGGCCUUUACUGACGCUAAAGCUCGAAAGUGUGGGGAGCAAAC
rnacentral:rRNA from 1 species